rfam:Cucumis melo, WGS project CAJI01000000 data, contig: 07382
ACACCUUUCUCGGCCUUUUGGCUAAGAUCUAAUGCAGUAUCUAAAGGUUUCAAACUUUCAUGUUUUGUGUGUCGUGUUCUACUUCUUGCUUGCAUGUAAUUUGCUUGUGGUAUGUCUCGCCAAUUUUAUUUAAUAAUUACAGAUUGACGAGACAACGCCAU